CUGAAGUAUAAAGUGAUUACAAUGUGGGAGGCUGGACAGAAAUAUGCUGAUGUGGUCAAGCUGAGAGGCAAAACCAAGGCUUGAAUGUAUGUUUGAGCAGCAGCAGAUACAGUGCCUUAGGAUGGGGCCUGUGGCCUGUAACAGCCUGGCCUGGGAGUGGAACCAGACACCCUUGUUUGUGAGAGGUUGACAUCACAGGGACAAAUGGAACUUCUUUUCAAGUGGAAGUCAGAUAUUUACAG